UAUUAUUAACAUUAAAUUAUCUAAUAAAUUAUGAUGUAGUUAAUUUAUUAUUAUUUAUUACGCGUUUUUAUCAACAGAACUUAUUAUCAGACAAAUCUGUUCAUACAUAUACAAAUACACACAUAUAAAAUCAUUAAUACUUAGAUAGACGUAAGAAAUAUAAAAUAUAUAAAAAUAUAUGGAAAAAUAUGCAUCCAUUAUGUGUAAUCGAGAAUGAAAACGGAAUGAUUGUAGCAAUUAGAGAUAUAACGAUAUUAUUAAGAGAAUCAUCUGCGAAUGAAAGAUAUUACAACCAAUUAGGGAUCAUUAAAACUCAUAAUGUCAAGGCGCACAUGUUCUAUCUAUUAAUGAUUAUGACUAUUGAUACAUUGUCGGUUCUCAUAGCACGAAGAACGAUUUAUAUUCUCGAUUAUCAAUGCGAACAUCGUUUGCACUUAGAGUAUGAAAGAUCGAAAGGAAGCGUCUGUUUACUCAUAAAUCUACUGCUCCAUCAACAUGGAAUAAUAGGCUUCUGAGAAAAGAAGUGAAUUGCGUUUGCAGUUGAAAUAACAGAAAAUGACAGGAGAUUAUUGUUUACUUAGGAGAUGGGCUAGUCUAUCAUCAAUCAAAAUGAAAUGGUAUACUUCUAAGUGAAGCAAUUAUUUUUUUUUAAUACUUUUCGAGUAAUUUUACAGAGUAUUUCAAAACUUAUUCACAAAGAAACUUGAAUGUGUUAAUUACAUUUAAAUAAAAUUCUUUAUCGUUUCGUAUUAUACGGAGUCGUUUAUAUCGAGACAUCAAAUUAUUUGAAGAAAUCUCAUCUCAUAAAGGAACGCGGACGAUGAGACUUCAUAAUAUCUAUGUAGAGUAAAAAUCAAUCGAUAUUGAGAAGUUAAUUAUCUAUAUUUCGUGGCAUACUCCAAUCCAAACUGCCGUGAAUGCCAGGAGCAUCGAAGCAGCGCGCGUUGUUCUCGUCGUCCCGUUCCAGUCUUCCCGUAAUUUGCGCGCAUCGAAAUAAUCUCGAGACAAGAACGAUCGGCGUGACGGCGCCCGUCGUAAAUCACCGGUCGAUCCGAUCGCGGCGAGCGCCGCGGCGUCAUCCGUCUCUGACAAAGUGCGAACCCGCCGAGGGAUCUUCCGCCGCCCCAGCAACUUCCGGCGGUCGUUAUUUACGGGGCUAGAUUGGCGGGACUUGGGGAGCUCGAGUUCCAGCGCGAGAGGCGUGAGGUCGGGAUCGCAAAUUGAUCUCGGAGGCUUGGGAGGAGGCGGUGAUGGCGGCAGCGGCGGCGGCGACGGAGGCGACGGAGGCGUCGCCUUUUAUCGCCCGCCGAUGCACUUCCUCGCGCCGCGUCCCGGCGACGAAAGUAAUUUUCUUAGACCGCUAUCGCGCGCUCCACGUCUCUCCGCGACGGGUCGCUUAAAAAAUGCAUCUCCAAGAAAUCGAUGUGUUAUCGGGAGAAAUGUUACGUGCAUGCAAUUUGUGAAAUAGCACUCCGAGUGAUGUAUGGUGUUCGGCGUGGCUCUCUUGGAUUCCCGAUCGAGCACCUACCCUGCUUAUUCCACAUUAAAACGGCAUCGGGACCGACAAAGUGCGAGAAAUUCCGUUGAAAGCACCUUCUAUGCCCGUCGUUAGAAACCCGCAACAAAUGGCACAACUAAAAUGAAAUGUUAAAGCCAGUAUUAAUCGCAGAAAGAGUGUAGCACGACGGCACGAUUUAAGUAGUGGUUCGAGCAAGGAUGAGCCGGUGCCGUAGGUCAGGUAUGAAUUCUUGAUGUCGAGAGCUUGGGUACGACCGCAGACACCAGGAUCCCACUGCGCUGGCAACCACCGGUGCCUUGCUCUGACAAUCCCGCGAUGAAUCAUCCGAAUGUCGACCUCAUCGUCGAACGAACGUGAUCAUCUAUCAUCAUCAAAUAGGGCUAGAAGCUGCUCAAUAAGUUAUCGGCAAUUUCUUGGCUACAGAGUGACCUACUUUUUCCUUAUGUUGUAGCUGUGUGCUAGGAUACAAUAACAUCUGUUAUCGUUUUCGAGCUAUCAUUUUAUUGUUAGUUAUAAUAAUUUUCUGUUUCAAUUCAAUAAAAUAAAACGUAAUAUUACAAACUCACGACAGAUGUUUAAGCGAAAUAAAAUUUUUCUACGAAAAUAUUACACAAAUUAGUUUUCUUUUGUUUUAGACACAUUGUAAAUAAUCGUUUAAAGACCGUGCAAAUUUAUCUUUAGCUACUCAUAGCAUAAUUAGUUCGAGCGGUUUCUCCGAAAACACGUACAAAUCUCUGUCGCCGUCUGCACUGAACUGAAUCUUUGAUAAAGAAAACCGACAGCAAUGUUCAACGAUGUUCUCGUGGCAUGAGUUGAAUAUUCGCAGAAACCACGAACAUUUACCGCUUUAGUCACAUACACGUUGAUUGUGUAAUGUCCGACGCAAGGGCCAGGUAAUUAACGGAUACACCACUAAUUGAAUCGAGCUGUGCAAUACACAACCAUACAGUGGCAUGUUCUAAAAUUUCAUGCAGAAACUUAGAUCUGGAAUAUAUGCUUUCCUAAUUUUCGUGCUAGAGGCGCGAGAAUUCUAUGUCCUAUUAAAACAUAAUUUAAUUACAACAAAGAAAUAAUUCACAUAAUUGCGACCGAGGUAAGUUAUGAUAAUCUUUUGCUAUAAUAGAAUUACAAAGUUACACAAAAUUAGUUUUAGAAAUGCCGAAAUUAUAAAAAACACUAAUACAUACUAAUUAGUUAUUAGAAUCAAUAAUAGUCGUUGCUUUCUGUAAUACGUACAAUUAUACGAGUUAAUUCUGCGUAGUAAUAGCUGCUAAAUCAAUGAUCAUUUUCCGGUGUAAAUGGAGAGUCGCUUACAUCAUGUAUCAGGGAGCGUUCUGGCGGUUCGCCGAAAUUCAGAGAAUCGCGGUCGAGAAAUCGGUGGUGGCGAUCACGUCGCUAGAACUCGAAUUAUCCCCAGGACCGGAAGAUCAGUUCCCAAUAAUCCGCGGCACGCGCAUUUACAUCCGGAAACGAGGCAAUAAAUACAGGCGUUUACACGGCGGUCCACCUGCACGGCGCGGCCGGUCGUUCUCUGCCCAACGAUGGGAAGGGGCUGGGAUAAAUUCCUGGCCAUCGGCCAGUAUUUCGGGUUUCCGAAGCCGUUUCGUCCGAUACAAAUGGACGCCACGGACAACCUGGGGAACUGCGAAACUACGAAACUACGGUACUAAAUGGACCUGCUGCCGCCAACGUCGCGCCGCCGCUACCGCUGUUGCUGCCGUCGCCAGUAGGGGGAUGCGAAAGAACACGAACACGUGGCCGAAGGGGUGACGAUUAAUGAACUCGUCGUACCGUUACACAGGAUCGUGCUAGGUUUAUGUUGUUAUUGGCAGAUACUGGGAAAUCGGUGGUUGCAUCGGCGACAUCAAUGAUCCCUUUAUUACAAACAGUUGGAGACCGUAAUAUUUCGAGUAGAUUUUAAAGUUGCUAACAAAAACGCAUUCUUCAGUUAAAUAAAUUUUGUUUACUGUGUGAGAUAUACUUAUUACGUUAUUUAAAAAACGUUUAUGUAUAACGUAACAAAAAUUGAAUCAAAUUUUGAUUGACAGAAAAUUAGCCCAAGAAAACAUGUAUUUCUCAGAUUUCAUGCAAAUCUUAUGAAGCACAAGUUAAUAAUAUAAAACACAUUUUACAAUAUGAUCUUUAAGUAAAUCUGUAUAAAACUUUCUACUAAAAUCUAGCUAUUUAAAUCUAAAAGAUUAGUUUAUUUUGCUUUAAAAAAAUGUCAAAAGCACCGACGAUAAAAAGACGAUAAAAAGACAGAAAAAAAGGGGAAAAACCGAAUGGAUACAGGGUUUUUUAACGAGCUAGGAAUUUCAAAUGUAUGUCCAGGGAGAAAAAACGCAAAAAAUAAUAUGACGAAGAAUCUGAGAGAUUACAAAGGAUCCCCAUCCUGAUUUUCAAUCGAUCGAAUCUGCUGCAGUUUUCCGAGCGUAUUCAAGUCCUCUUUUCCCCUCGGUCCUGGUGGGGCCCAAUUUCUACCUCGCUUUCUCCGGUCGAGUCCAUCGUGCGGUUCACGUUUUGCAUUCUGCAUUUUACAUUUUGCCACGCGCGUUCGCCUCGCACACGUCGUCGCGCAAAUUUAGCGUAAAUAAUUCGAGCAUUUGCGUUCCGUUGCCUCUCCGUCGAGGGCGGUACAAAACCGUCCUCCGCAUCGCCGUGUUCAUAGGCAUGUGGACAGAUGCACAUGUCUGACCGUGUAUUUUAUAUGUGUGUGUAGGGGUACAAUUUGCGAAUGUGCCUGUGCGACCGGUACGUGACGUGCAUCGAUACGAGCGAAUGCAUAUAGGCCUUUCAUACCUAUGGACAAAAUGAGAAUUCUCUUUUCCCUUUGAUCCAAGGUUCGAGCAUCAAAAAGGGAACCCACGUGACGUCUCCACAUUUGAAAUUAAAUCGACAUGCAUUUUAUGCUCAAUUAUUGACUGUGUUUAAUAUUAUUAUUCAUAUAUUUGUACAUUGUGCAAAGGCUAUGCGCGAUUUCGUUUAUCUUUGUAUGAGUAAAAUUUCGUUUUCGAUAUACGAAGAUAUAGCGCUAUGUUGUUACGUCACGAGCUACCUACGUCAUUGUUCAAGAGAUAAACGAGAAAUGGUCGCAACGUGACAUUCGCGUUAUCCCAACAGUCACCGCGAGGAUAUCGAUGCUAUUAAUUUAACACUUGACAAACUGGCCUGUGGAUUAAAGCAAACUUUGACAUUUGAAAAGUUCACAGCAUUUCGUGUGUAAACAUCGAAAUAAACUGUACAUUUCUCCAGGUUAGAUAUCUAUUGUUCUCAAUGAUCUGUGUAUAAGAUUACCUAAAUAAUUAUCUAAAUAAAAAAUGUACUUUACCUUAUUAUCUAGAUUAUUAGAAUAUAUGUUAUCUCACUAACAAAUUCUAUGGAGAGAUUUUGAGGUUUACCCCCCGCCCUCCUUCCAAA